rnacentral:sRNA from 1 species
CCCAAAAUGAGUAGACGUUACGAUACAAUAAAGCAUCUUGGAGAAGGACAAUUCGCCAACGUUUAUCUCGCACAAGACCUCGAAUCGGGCGAAUGUGUGGCUAUUAAAAAAGUAUUUAUACAUUUUUCCGCUGAAAAAAUGAAAAAAAAACCGCGUAAAUUUGUAGAUCAAACUAGGAUCGAGAGAAGAAGCAAAAGAUGGAAUCAAUCGAACGGCGAUUCGAGAGAUUAAACUUUUGAAGGAAAUUCAUCAUGACAAUAUUAUCGGGGUUUGGAAAUUUUUGGAUUCAAAUUUGAAAUUUUCAGGCCUAGAAGCCCAAAUUAAAAAAAAAAUCUGUGAAAAUUAACUGAGAAAACCGAUUUUUUGGCAAAUUUUCCAACAAAAGUGAAAAUUUAGUGAAGAAUAUUACACAUACGCGAAACAUUGUGAUUUUUACUCUAAAAAUACGUGUUUUUACUGGAAAUUGGGAAAUUUUGAAUUUAAAUUUGAAAAUUUCAGAAAAAGAUGGCCAAAAGAUGGCGAAAUCUUAAAAUUCCUUAAAAAUCUGUAAAAAAAUAACUGAGAAAACCGAUUUUUUGGCAAAUUUUCCAUGCACUUUUAUUGUUAAUUGCAAAAAUAUUACACAUACCCGAAAAAUUGUGAUUUUUGCUCCAAAAUUACGGUACCAGGUCUCGACACGACAAUUUUUUUGUUAAAUGCGAAAAGGUGUGUGCCUUUAAAGUUAGAGUACUGUAUCUUCAAACUUUUGUGGAAAUUUUCACUGAAAACAGGAAAAUUUUGAGUUAAAAUUUGAAAUUUUCAGACCAAAUUUUUUAAAAAUCUGUAAAAAUUAGCCGAGAAAAAACGGAUUUUUUUUUGUCAAAUUUUCCAUCAAUUGUUAGCUGUAAAAUAUCAUUACACAUACGCGAAAUUUUGUGAUUUUUGUUCCAACCUGGUCUCGACACGACAAUUUUUUGUUAAAUUCGAAAAUUCGUGCGCCUUUAAAGAGUACUGUAGCUUCAAACUUUCGUUUCUGCUGGAUUUUCAUCGGAUUUUUACAUAGUUUUUUCGAUAAAAAUUGUAUUUAUUUAUUUAGAAGAAAAAUAAUUUUUUUAAAAAUAAAUAAAUAUAUUUUUAUCGAAAAAACUAUGUAAAAAUCCGAUAAAAAUCCAGCAGAAACGAAAGUUUGAAGCUACAGUACUCUUUAAAGGCGCACACCUUUUUCAAUUUGGGUAACAAACAGUUGUUGUGUCGAGACCAGGUACCGUAAUUUUGGAGCAAAAAUCACAAAUUUUCGCUUAUGUGUAAAAGCGGAUUUAAUAUUUGAAGUUUUUGAAGAAAUUUUUUUUUGAAACAAAAAUUCGAUUUUUGGUAUUAAAAAUCCCAAAUUUUGCGAUUUUUGUUCAAAAAUUACGGUACCUGGGGUUUCGACACGACAAGUUUUUGUUAAUAGCGAAAAGCUGUGCGCCUUUAAAGAGGCUACUGUAGCUUCAAACUACCGUUUCUGCCGUAUUUUCAUCGAUUUUUCAUAGUUUUUUCGAUAAAAAUUAUAUUUAUUUUUUUAGAAAAAAAAAAGAAUCGAGUAUAAAGUUUACUAUUUAUAUUUGAUUUUUUUUUCUAAAUAGAAAAAUAAAAUUUUUAUCGAAAAACUUUGCAAAAAUCCGAUGAAAAUCCGGCAGAAACGAAAGUUUGAAGCUACAGUAGCCUCUUUAAAGGCGCAUCACACCUUUAUCGAUUUAACAAAAAAAUUGUCGUGUCGAGACCAGGUACGGUAAUUUUGGAGCAAAAAUCACAAAUUUUCGCGCAUGUGUAAUUUUUUCAUUAAAAAUAAAAGUGCAUGACCAUUUUUCAAAAAAAAUUUUUUUUUUGGAAAAUUUUACAAAAAAAUCGGUUUUUUCUCAUUAUCAGUUUUUUUUACAGAUUUUUUUUAAAUUUAAAAUUAAUAAAAUAAAUAAAUCGAUUUUAAAAAUUGAAUUUUUCUGAAAAAUUCGAUUUUUGUAUUAAAAAAUCCUAAAUUUUCAAUUUUUUUCAGUUACGAGAUGUGAUUGGACAUCGAACAAGUAUUCAACUGGUUUUCGACUUUAUGGAUACAGAUCUCGAACAUGUGAUUAAGGAUAAAGAAAUUAUUCUAAUGCCAGCACAUAUCAAAAAUAUUACGAUGCAAAUGCUUCUGGGACUCGAAUUUCUACACGUUCACUGGAUUCUUCACAGAG